CAAGCAGUGGGAGCACAGAGCAAUCUGUGUGACUGCGUACCUUUUGUAUAAUGGGUCAGCGACUUAUAUUCUGUAGCAAGGUUAACCGAAUAGGGGAGCCGAAGGGAAACCGAGUCUUAACUGGGCGUUAAGUUGCAGGGUAUAGACCCGAAACCCGGUGAUCUAGCCAUGGGCAGGUUGAAGGUUGGGUAACACUAACUGGAGGACCGAACCGACUAAUGUUGAAAAAUUAGCGGAUGACUUGUGGCUGGGGGUGAAAGGCCAAUCAAACCGGGAGAUAGCUGGUUCUCCCCGAAAGCUAUUUAGGUAGCGCCUCGUGAAUUCAUCUCCGGGGGUAGAGCACUGUUUCGGCAAGGGGGUCAUCCCGACUUACCAACCCGAUGCAAACUGCGAAUACCGGAGAAUGUUAUCACGGGAGACACACGGCGGGUGCUAACGUCCGUCGUGAAGAGGGAAACAACCCAGACCGCCAGCUAAGGUCCCAAAGUCAUGGUUAAGUGGGAAACGAUGUGGGAAGGCCCAGACAGCCAGGAUGUUGGCUUAGAAGCAGCCAUCAUUUAAAGAAAGCGUAAUAGCUCACUGGUCGAGUCGGCCUGCGCGGAAGAUGUAACGGGGCUAAACCAUGCACCGA
rnacentral:rRNA from 1 species